rnacentral:lncRNA from 1 species
GGGUUAGGGGGACAGAGAUGAGAAGGAUCCCAGUCGGGCCCUCCCCAGCGCCGCUCUGGGAUGGGAUCCGCUCAGCUCCGUCCCGGGACUGUCUCUCCGAGCGCACAGCCCCCGCGCCAGCCCUAUAUAAGAGGCCCCCGCCCCGGAACGCAGAAACUUCUGGAAAGUUGGAAAUGCUCUUGGGAUAAGGGAGGGGGGAUUUAAAGGGGGCGGCCCCCGUGUAGGUUGCAAAAGAAAAAAAUGCCCUUCUCAUCGCUAGUCCCGCUCCCCCCACUACUUUCCCCCAUCCCCCCACUUCUCUAGACCGCCCAGAGCCCCUGGGUCCUACUGCCCCUCAAUUUUCAGGGGAGUGGCCUGGCCUGGAUCCCCUAUCACGGCCCCCUCUUAUUCUUGAAAUGUUAGCUAGGAAAGGGCGGUUAAAGGACCUCUGGUCCAUUUGAAUCAUUUUGUAGAGCUCCAAAGAGGGCGAUGGAUGUGCCAAGGUCACAGGGUGGAGAGUCAGGAUUGGAACCCAGGCCUCCUCUCUCUCAGACUCCAAUAAUCCCUUCCUUUUGUUCUUUCAAAGGCCCAGAUCCAGAUUCUAUCUCUGAGAAGAAGGCAGAAUUCAAUCCCUACCUGAAAAUAUUUACCAAGCAACUAUAGAUAGGAUUGAUAAACUUCCUAGGAUUUCGUGCUGGAAGGGAAACCUCAGAAACCAAGGCCAUGCACCCCAUACUGCAGCAAAUCAAUGACCCAGGACAAUGCAGAGGAACUUCUGAGAAAGGACACAAUCCACAUCCAGAGAAAGAACUGUGGUAGUAGAAACGCAGAAGAAAAAUAUAUGAUCGAUGACAUGGUUCAAUGGGGAUAUGAUGGAGGUUUCGAUGUUAAAGAAUCACUCUACUACAAAUAUGCAUAACAUGGAAAUAGGUUUUGAACAAAUGAUACAAAGGAAGCACCCGGACUCACAGAGUAGAAAUGACUGCCUCAAGGUCACCCAAGGAAUCACUGUAGAGCCAGGACUCCUAUUUUGCUCUGCUGACUUCAAGAGAGUUCCAGACCCCUUGGCAGAAGAGCCAGAAGGGACUUCAUGACAGAAUCUUGAAUGGCAGAGCUGGAAGGAACUUCAGAAUAUAGAACAGAUGUCAAGUAGAAUGGACCAUCUCAGAAGGAUCAAUGGAUGCCUACCCUUCAAGCCAAGGUUGGAUGAUCUCCUAAAGACGGUACCUAUGAUAGAAGGGAUUACAUUUCAUAGUCCUAGGCAAGUCAUUUAACCCCAAUUGCUUGAUCCUUACUGCUCUUCUGUCUUAGAUCCAAUAUUUAGAAUCAAUUCUAAGACCAAAGGUAAUGGUUUAAACAAAUAAACCAAAAGACCAAAUCCUUCA